AUUGAACGCUGGCGGCAGGCCUAACACAUGCAAGUCGAGCGAGCGGCGGACGGGUGAGUAAUGUAUGGGGAUCUGCCCGAUAGCGGGGGAUAACUACUGGAAACGGUAGCUAAUACCGCAUACCAUCGGAUGUACCCAUAUGGGAUUAGCUAGUAGGUGGGGUAAAGGCUCACCUAGGCGACGAUCCCUAGCUGGUCUGAGAGGAUGAUCAUCCACACGGUGACUGCGACACGGUCCAGACGCCUACGGGCGGCAGCAGUGGGGAAUAUUGAACAAUGGGCGCAAGCCUGAUGCAGCCAUGCCGCGUGUAUGAAGAAGGCCUGAGGGUUGGAAAGUACUUUCAGCGGGGAGGCGUUACCCGCAGAAGAAGCACCGGCUAACUCCGUGCCAGCAGCCGCGGUAAUUC
rnacentral:rRNA from 1 species